rnacentral:rRNA from 1 species
CCUACGGGUGGCAGCAGUGGGGAAUAUUGGGCAAUGGGCGCAAGCCUGACCCAGCCAAGUCGCGUGAGGGAAGACGGUCCUAUGGAUUGUAAACCUCUUUUGCCGGGGAGCAAAAAGCGGUACGUGUACCGCAUCGAGAGUACCCGGAGAAAAAGCAUCGGCUAACUCCGUGCCAGCAGCCGCGGUAAUACGGAGGAUGCGAGCGUUAUCCGGAUUUAUUGGGUUUAAAGGGAGCGUAGGUGGAUUGUUAAGUCAGUUGUGAAAGUUUGCGGCUCAACCGUAAAAUUGCAGUUGAAACUGGCAGUCUUGAGUACAGUAGAGGUGGGCGGAAUUCGUGGUGUAGCGGUGAAAUGCUUAGAUAUCACGAAGAACUCCGAUUGCGAAGGCAGCUCACUGGACUGCAACUGACACUGAGGCUCGAAAGUGUGGGUAUCAAACAGGAUUAGAUACCCUGGUAGUC